UGUUGUUUUCCUUACACUCUACAUAUUAUGAACUGAAACAUUAUAAUUACUAAAACAAUCAUGCCAUUUGUUUCCCUGUAUCAGCAAUUUGUCCGUGAUAUAAAAAAAAAAAAAAAAGAAGGUUGCUAAAAUGUAAUUUGCAACUGUGGUGUGACCUACAAAUGAGAUCUGUUGGACACGAAUAUAAGAGCAUAACAGCUGAUUAUCCAGCUUCAUCUUACAAC